CCAAACCAGGCAUUGUUGUGCCAGCCAGCCGACACACUUGCCUCUGCUCAUCUGGCAUGUUGGCUGGUGUGGGUUGGCAGUAAGUGGUUUUUGUGCUGUCUGACUUCCUACUUCCGCUUCUGUGGGACCCUUCUGUAGCAGGUGAGGGGAAGAGGGCGGGGGAGGAAGAAGGGAUCCGCAGGGGAAGAGCAAUCACCAGGCAACCACUUGCCUCCAUUCGCCAUUUCCGAGGAACACUGCCCUGCUGCCCUCAGAGCCUGUCACUGCAGGGGGAUCGGAAUGUGUUCCCGCGGAGCCUCAAGAAGCCCAGCAUCUCCUGUUUCCAGUCUGGACCUCGAUUGUCUCACCUUCCACCUCUCCGCCUUCUGAGAUGAGGCUGGACUGUCCUCAGUGUGUCAGUACCCCCACCCCGAGAAGUAGAGCUGCUGGGCCUGGAGGUUUCCCUGCUAGGCCAUGCCCCAGAAAUGGAAAGGAGUGCUAGAGUCAACAGUGAUGUCUGCUACCAGCUCCGUAGACCAAGGUGUCUGAUCCAUGAGAACCACGAUAUUGAGUUACACACAGCCCUCCAGGUCUGUAAUUCUGGAGAAUGGUUCAGCCUGGAUGAUGUCUGGGGCCCGCUGACCCUGAGCAACAACAGCCCCUAAAGAACAAGCACAAAUUACAGCACAAGAAAGGAGGCUGACAAACAGCAAGAAGUGGCCGAAGCAGAAACUUAAUCCAGCACAGAGUGAGCUCGCACACCCCUCUCCUUCCUGCCUUCCUCCACCUGCCCUUCUCUCCCCACCUGCCACCUGCCACAGCACAGCAAAGAUUCCGACUCAAUGAGGGCAGGGGCACCCAGUAUUAUUGUCCUGAGUGUUGUUCCUUUGCUGUUCUCAUCUACGAAUGGGGCUUGACUCCCUCCUCCGGAGAUGAGCAAAUUGGAAGGAUGAUGUUUCAGUAUCGAUAACUCAGGUGAUAUGAGGAUCAGAUUCCUGUACCUUGGGUACCAUACCCUUGCUGUUUAGAAGUUUCAUGGAAGGUCAGGGGAGUAUGAAGCCCACCACAGGGCUGAAGCUCCAUGGUGAAAAGGACAUUUCCUGGGCAGGACCCUGAGGCUGACAGGAGAAGAGGACUGCCGACUUACCAGGUCUCCAGCUCUGGCAUCUCAUGUCAGCUUGCACAUCCUCUCUAUUUCGUUGUAAACCUAAAACUGCUCUAAAAAAUAAAGUCUUUUAAAAGUUAAAAUUAAAAAAACCUUUAAAAAAGAUAGAAACAGAAUUACCACAGAGUGAGCAGAACUUUGGAGAGCUACACAGCACUUGGUGGGUCUUGGACUCCUGGCACAGCCUGACUUAGGGAGGGCUUAUCUUCUGGGUAAAAUGAAACUUUGGGUCUCCUUUUUUUGUUCUUAUUUUAAAUCAAAACUUCAAAAUACCAAGAGACAGAGUUCAGCAAAAGGAACUCACUUCCUUUUACUCCUUAGAAAAUGCAUUACCAAGGAAAAUGCAUUUUGUUGUGGGUUGAGUUGUGUCCCUCCAAAUUCAUAUGUUGAAAUUUUAACCCCCAUGCCUUAGAAUGUGACUGUAUUUGGAAAUGAGGUCUUUAAAGAGGUAAUUCGGGUUAAAUGAGGUCUUUGAGGAGGGCCCUAAUUCAAUAUGACAGGUAUCCUUAUAUAAAGGAGACUAAGGCAUGAGCACACAGAGAAGAAAGACCGUGAGGAGUCAGAAGUGGAAGACAGCCAUCUACAAGCCAAGGAGAGAGGCCUCAGAAGACAUCAGCCCAGCUAACACCUUGAUCUCAGAC